UCAUCCCAGGAGUCUUUCCGGGUUGCGGGUGCAGGGGAGGCGCCCAGGUGACGGGUGUGGGGUGCAGCGGGAAACGGAUUCAAAGCCACUCCAGGAAGGAAAUCGGAUCCCAAAACCUGGUUGUCCUGGGCACAGGCUUCAGGUGACUGCAGAAGAUCCCACUCUAGCAAUCCUAAACCAAGCAGAGAUGUGAAAACUUACUUCUUUCCGCUUUCUCGAGGCGCUCCAGGACGCAGGUGGCGCGCUCAAUGCGGGGAGGCGCCACCUACAGGACAGAGGAAGACCAGCAGCUUGGGCUCGAGAUUUCAACAGUCUGUGGCGCGGGCUGAUGAGGACGGCCCCUCCUCCUCCUGGUGUAAUAGUCCCUGACAUUUAUCGAAUGCUCUUCUCGUGCCAGACACUGUCCUUAGCACCUGACAUGUAUUAAUGAUUUUAAACCUCACAACAACCCUAUUAGAGCAUGCCGUUGUCACUUCAGCCUGAGCCCCAGAAUGAGAAGUUACAUGGAGCAGACCUGAACAAGAUUCACAACCUGGAACAGAAUCACUGCAGCCGAUCCACAAACCUGUGAGCAAAAAAUAAAUGUUAUAAAUCUCUGA